rnacentral:rRNA from 1 species
AUUGAACGCUGGCGACAGGCCAAACACGUGCAAGUCGAACGAGUGGCGGACGGGUGAGUAAUGUCUGGGAAACUGCCCGAUGGAGGGGGAUAACUACUGGAAACGGUAGCUAAUACCGCAUACCAUCAGAUGUGCCCAGAUGGGAUUAGCUAGUAGGUGAGGUAACGGCUCACCUAGGCGACGAUCCCUAGCUGGUCUGAGAGGAUGACCAGCCAAACUGGAACUGAGACACGGUCCAGACUCCUACGGGAGGCAGCAGUGGGGAAUAUUGCACAAUGGGCGCAAGCCUGAUGCAGCCAUGCCGCGUGUAUGAAGAAGGCCUUAGGGUUGUAAAGUACUUUCAGCGGGGAGGCGUUACCCGCAGAAGAAGCACCGGCUAACUCCGUGCCAGCAGCCGCGGUAAUUC